AUUGAACGCUGGCGGCAUGCCUUACACAUGCAAGUCGAACGGCAGCACGGGUGCUUGCACCUGGUGGCGAGUGGCGAACGGGUGAGUAAUACAUCGGAACAUGUCCUGUAGUGGGGGAUAGCCCGGCGAAAGCCGGAUUAAUACCGCAUACGAUCCACGGAUGAAAGCGGGGGACCUUCGGGCCUCGCGCUAUAGGGUUGGCCGAUGGCUGAUUAGCUAGUUGGUGGGGUAAAGGCCUACCAAGGCGACGAUCAGUAGCUGGUCUGAGAGGACGACCAGCAACACUGGGACUGAGACACGGCCCAGACUCCUACGGGAGGCAGCAGUGGGGAAUUUUGGACAAUGGGCGAAAGCCUGAUCCAGCAAUGCCGCGUGUGUGAAGAAGGCCUUCGGGUUGUAAAGCACUUUUGUCCGGAAAGAAAUCCUUGGCUCUAAUACAGUCGGGGGAUGACGGUACCGGAAGAAUAAGCACCGGCUAACUACGUG
rnacentral:rRNA from 1 species